GUCUAUGGCCAUGCUACCCUGAACAAGUCUGAUGUCUGAUCUUGGAAGCUAAGCAGUGUUGGGUCUGGUUAGUACUUGGAUGGGAGACCACCUAGGAAGACCAGGCGCCGUAGGCA
rfam:Pteropus alecto contig168806, whole genome shotgun sequence.